ensembl:lncRNA
CCUGGCUGUUUACCAGUCUGAUGGCCUGGAGAUAUAAGCUGUUUACCAGUCUGAUGGCCUGGCUGUUUACCAGUCUGAUGGCCUGGAGAUAUAAGCUGUUUACCAGUCUGAUGGUCUGGCUGUUUAUCAGUCUGAUGACCUGGCUGUUUAUCAGUCUGAUGGCCUGGAGAUAGAAGCAGUUUUCCCAGUCUGAUGGCCUGUCUGUUUAUCAGUCUGAUGGCCUGGCUGUUUUUCAGUCUCUCCAUUCCAGAUUUGAUGCACCUGUACUGUCUCCUUUUACUAGAUGGUAGAGGGGUGAACAGGCCAUGGCUCGGGUGGCUGAGGUCCUUGAUGAUCUAUUGGAUGGUAGUUGGGUGAACAGGCCGUGGCUCGGGUGGCAGAGGUCCUUGAUGAUCUUCUGGAUGGUAGUGGGGUGAACAGACCGUGGCUUGGGUGGCGGAGAUCCUUGAUGAUCUUCUGGAUGGUAGUGGGGUGAACAGACCAUGGCUCGGGUGGCGGAGAUCCUUGAUGAUCUUCUAGAUGGUAUCAGGGUGAACAGGCCGUGGCUCGGGUGGCAGAGGUCCUUGAUGAUCUUCUGGAUGGUAGUGGGGUGAACAGGCCGUGUCUCGGGUGGUGGAGGUCCUUGACGAUCUUCUGGAUGGUAGCGGGGUGAACAGGCCGUGGCUCGGGUGGUGGAGGUCCUUGAUGAUCUUCUAGAUGGUAGCGGGGUGAACAGGCCGUGGCUCGGGUGGCAGAGGUCCUUGAUGAUCUUCUGGAUGGUAGCAGGGUGAAUAGACCGUGGCUCGGGUGGCUGAGGUCCUUGAUGAUCUUCUGGAUGGUAGCGGGGUGAACAGGCCGUGGCUCGGGUGGUGGAGGUCCUUGAUGAUUUUCUGGAUUGUAGAGGGGUGAACAGGCCGUGGCUCGGGUGGUGGAGGUCCUUGAUGGUCUUCUGGAUGGUAGUGGGGUGAACAAGCCGUGUCUCGGGUGGCUGAGGUCCUUGAUGAUCUUCUUGUCCUUCCUGUAUCACCGAUUGCUGUAGAUGUCCUGGAGGGCAGGCAGUGGGCUCCUAGUGAUGCGUUGGGCUGACCACACC